CGGGAUGUAGCUCAGCUUGGUAGAGCGCUGCGUUUGGGACGCAGAAGUCGCAGGUUCGAAUCCUGUCAUCCCGACCA
rnacentral:tRNA from 1 species